CGGAGAAAUUUCUGCUGUCUGUUUUUGGCCAUGAAGGGAAAAACAGAGAAAGAAGAGUAGCUAAUCAGACUCUACAUUUCAGUGAGUCUACUGAAAUCCAGGAGCAAUUGGAGAACUCAUCAUCCCUUCCUUUCUGAGAAGAGGUAAUAAUUGUGCAUAGACAAAUAUAAAUAGUUUGUAUUAAUAUUCUGUUACUCCAAAUGAUAAUGACUAGAUCUUGCUAUGUACUUCUGUAUAACCUCUACUUUUAAUUUUGUUA